AACAUCUUCUGCUCUGGCUGCAGCUGGGAGGGACUGCUGCAUGAGGACUGGGCCGCCUGUGAGUGCUUUGGGACGGACUUUCACGUCAGUCUCCAAGUCUCCAAUAGCACCAGAAAAAGUCGCUAGAUUUGUCGCUAGUCGCUUUUUUGAAAAUGUGUCGCUAGAGGGGUCUGAAUACUCGCUAAAUAUAGCGACUUAAUCGCUAAAUUGGCAACACUGAGUGUCUUAGGUUAUGAGAUUGCGUGUGUGAGAGCAAGCAAUUUACACUUGAGAGCUGUUAAUCCACCGUGGGUCCAACGUUACUUUAGAUUGACAUGAGAACGUUAGCUUCUUGCUAGCUGAAUACCAGUGCUCUCAGAACCACGUUGUGGAGUUGAUAACAUCAUUUGAAGCUGCUGUAUGGGUCUUGGAUGUUAGUGGCGGUCUAGCUGACCUCUGGGACGGGCAUCCCUGAACGACAAGCCCCUGGUGCCUGGGGGGAGGGGGGCAGGCUGAGCUCCAGCACACCCUCCAACUGGUCGGAGCAGCAGCAGAGAUACUCCUGUUUGAGGACAGAGCAGUAAAGAAAUUGUCUAGGAAGGGUGAAAUGAAAAGCUGUAAACCAUCAAACUUAGAGUCCUCACCAACCAAGGCUCAGAGAAAACAAUUACAUUUGUACUAUGUUUUUAAACCAGUUUGCUUCCUUAUUGAAUAAAGGAGGCCUUUUUUCUUUACCUUGUGGAAUGAACGACUAGAUUGUACUUCCAGGGAGAAGCCAGACAAACAAGGAAAAUACAAGUAUAUAUUUUUUUAUCAAAUAAAAUGUUAUUUGUCACAUGCUUCUUAAACAGAAGG